AACCUUGAGAGGCGACAGCCUGCUACAGAGAAGAGGAAGAAGAACCAAGACAGAUCCAAAGAAAGGAUGCUGCCACCACGCUGACUUCUGGUUAGGUGUCCUUGGACAGAGGAGAAUGGAGGCAGGAUACAGAAUAGAAAGCCAAGGAAUGUUCAAGAAGUCACGUGGGAAAAGCAAUAUGAAAGCCAAAGUUGGAGAAAUUUUACCCUGG
rnacentral:lncRNA from 1 species